UUUCAUUAAAGUAUAAAUUACAUUAAGCUUAGAACUUAAAAAAAAUAAAUGAAAA
rnacentral:tRNA from 1 species